rnacentral:rRNA from 1 species
AUUGAACGCUGACGGCAUGCCUUACACAUGCAAGUCGAACGGUAACAGGUCUUCGGAUGCUGACGAGUGGCGAACGGGUGAGUAAUACAUCGGAACGUGCCCAAGAGUGGGGGAUAACGAAGCGAAAGCUUUGCUAAUACCGCAUACGAUCUCAGGAUGAAAGCAGGGGACCGCAAGGCCUUGCGCUCACGGAGCGGCCGAUGGCAGAUUAGGUAGUUGGUGGGAUAAAAGCUUACCAAGCCGACGAUCUGUAGCUGGUCUGAGAGGACGACCAGCCACACUGGGACUGAGACACGGCCCAGACUCCUACGGGAGGCAGCAGUGGGGAAUUUUGGACAAUGGGCGAAAGCCUGAUCCAGCCAUGCCGCGUGCAGGAUGAAGGCCUUCGGGUUGUAAACUGCUUUUGUACGGAACGAAAAGACUCUGGUUAAUACCUGGAGUCCAUGACGGUACCGUAAGAAUAAGCACCGGCUAACUACGUGCCAGCCGCCGCCGUAAAAC